rnacentral:rRNA from 1 species
UUAUGGAGAGUUUGAUCCUGGCUCAGGAUGAACGCUGGCGGCGUGCCUAAUACAUGCAAGUCGAGCGAACGGACGAGAGUGCUUGCACUCUCUGAAGUUAGCGGCGGACGGGUGAGUCACACGUGGGUAACCUACUUAUAAGACUGGGAUAACUUCGGGAAACCGGAGCUUAUAACGGAUAAUAUUUAGCUUCGCAUGAAGCAAUAGUGAAAGACGGUGCUGCUGUCAUGUAUCGAUGGACCCGAGGUGUAUUAGCUAGGUGGUGAGAUAACAGUUCACCAAGGUAACGAUACAUCGCCGAUCUGCGAGGGUGAUCGACUACACUGGGAGUGAGACACGGCCCAG